rnacentral:rRNA from 1 species
GUAGGGAAUCUUCCACAAUGGACGAAAGUCUGAUGGAGCAACGCCGCGUGAGCGAUGAAGGCCUUCGGGUCGUAAAGCUCUGUUGUUAGGGAAGAACAAGUGCUAGAAUAAUACGCUAGCACCUUGACGGUACCUAACCAGAAAGCCACGGCUAACUACGUGCCAGCAGCCGCGGUAAUACGUAGGUGGCAAGCGUUAUCCGGAAUUAUUGGGCGUAAAGCGCGCGCAGGCGGUCUUUUAAGUCUGAUGUGAAAGGUCAUGGCUCAACCAUGGAAUUGCAUUGGAAACUGGAAGACUUGAGUGCAGAAGAGGAGAGUAGAAUUCCACGUGUAGCGGUGAAAUGCGUAGAGAUGUGGAGGAAUACCAAUGGCGAAGGCAACUCUCUGGUCUGUAACUGACGCUGAGGCGCGAAAGCGUGGGGAGCAAACAGGAUUAGAUACCCUGGUAGUCC